CAACCUUGUGUUACGCAGAGUGAUGUUAACAUCAAAUGUCUAAUCAGCGUUGUCAUUACAUUUGACACGGAUAUAUAUAUACUUAAGAGUUUGAUUUCGCUUUGGUUCUCAUGAUUCUGAAAGAAAAGACAAGGAUCCAAAUAAGUUAAUUUUAGAACACGAGUUAAAGAUGGAAGACUUGUCGAAACUAAUGGGCAGUUUUGGGCCCUGGCACCUUUCAAUAUGUAUCAUUACAAGUUUUUCCUGGAUCCCUAUUGCAAUGCACACUAUGGCUAUCCCAUUCCUUGCUCUUCCGAUGGAUUUUUGGUGUGUAUUCCCUAACAGCUUUUUCAACUAUACUUUUAACCAAACAGAAGAAGAGGGAACACAACUAGACACCUGUCACAGCAUGCGAAACGGAAAUAAGACCGCCUUAUGUGAACAAUGGAAUUAUGACACCCAAUACUACCAUUCCAUAGUCUCAGAGUGGGAUUUGGUGUGUUGGAGAGAAUGGCUGAUAUCGUUCUCU